GCCGAGCGGCCCUCGCCCCCCGGCCUGGCUUUGGCAAAGCCGCGGGCGGUGACAGGAGCCGCUUUCCCGGUGGCGGCCGUCGGUGCAGAGUCACAUCAAACCAUCUACAAGUCACCUCCCUUGCCUUUCUGGACCAUCCGCAGCAGAGCCUGGGAAGAGUUUCUGCCUAUGAUUCUCAGAGGAAUCUCCACUGAACCCAGCACUUCACUCCAGAUGUGGCAAGGGAAGAAAAUAAUCUGCAAAGUGCAAGGCUGACACCUGGAGGGGACUGCUGCGAUGCAGCCAGGGGAGGCUGGAGGAGACAGGGAUUCUGCAACAUGCAGCUUGGGUUGGGAAAGGUCAGAGGAGGUGGCAACAUCCCAGGGUUUGGAACUGCGCUGUUCUAGUGAAGGGUUGCUUCAGCUUUUCUUCCCUCUCCCCUUUUACAACAAUAAAGAAAAAUACAGCUUUCUAUUUCAGAUUUUCCAUGUUUAAUUUUAGCAGUGGAGAAAAGCACUGAAGCAAACUCUGUGUUCAUCUAGUUACUCACUUCUUCCAUGUUCAGGAAUAUUUGGAUCAAAACUUACCUUGCUCAAUAAGAUGCUACAAAUAACACAAGGUUAUUUUUUCA